CCUACGGGAGGCUGCAGUGAGGAAUAUUGGUCAAUGGGCGCGAGCCUGAACCAGCCAAGUAGCGUGAAGGAUGACUGCCCUACGGGUUGUAAACUUCUUUUAUAAAGGAAUAAAGUGAGGCACGUGUGCCUUUUUGUAAGUACUUUAUGAAUAAGGAUCGGCUAACUCCGUGCCAGCAGCCGCGGUAAUACGGAGGAUCCGAGCGUUAUCCGGAUUUAUUGGGUUUAAAGGGAGCGUAGAUGGGUUGUUAAGUUAGUUGUGAAAGCUUGCGGCUCAACUGUAAAAUUGCAAUUGAUACUGGCAGUCUUGAGUAUAGUUGCGGUAGGCGGAAUGUGUGGUGUAGCGGGGAAAUGCUUAGAGAUCACGCAGAACACCGAUUGCGAAGGCAGCUUACUAAGCUGCUACUGACAUUGAUGCUCGAAAGUGUGGGUAUCAAACAGGAUUAGAUACCCUAGUAGUC
rnacentral:rRNA from 1 species